UUUAGAGGCUCCUUUAGAAGCUUCUUUAGAGGCUUUAGAGGCUCCUUUAGAGGUUCCUUGAGAAGCUUCUUUAGAAGCUCCUUUAGAAGUUCCUUUAGAGGCUCCUUUAGAAGUUCCUUUAGAGGCUCCUUUAGAAGUUCCUUUAGAGGCUCCUUUAGAAGUUGCUUUAGUGGCUCCUUUAGAGGCUCCUUGAGAAGCUCCUUUAGAGGCUCCUUUAGAAGCUCCUUUAGAGGCUUUAGAGGCUCCUUUAGAGGCUCCUUUAGAGGCUCUCAACUCCAAACUUAACCAAUUAUUAAAAAACUGUAAAAAAAAAAACCUAAAUACACAAAAACUGAAGUCUGCCACAUUAAAAAAAACAAACAACUAAAACAAAAAAAAAUUAACAUAAAAAAUACUUUCAUGAUAUCAUUGUG
ensembl:lncRNA